rnacentral:rRNA from 1 species
GAUGAACGCUGGCGGCGUGCCUAAUACAUGCAAGUCGAGCGAACAGAUAAGGAGCUUGCUCCUUUGACGUUAGCGGCGGACGGGUGAGUAACACGUGGGUAACCUACCUAUAAGACUGGAAUAACUCCGGGAAACCGGGGCUAAUGCCGGAUAACAUUUAGAACCGCAUGGUUCUAAAGUGAAAGAUGGUUUUGCUAUCACUUAUAGAUGGACCCGCGCCGUAUUAGCUAGUUGGUAAGGUAACGGCUUACCAAGGCAACGAUACGUAGCCGACCUGAGAGGGUGAUCGGCCACACUGGAACUGAGACACGGUCCAGACUCCUACGGGGGGCAGCAGUAGGGAAUCUUCCGCAAUGGGCGAAAGCCUGACGGAGCAACGCCGCGUGAGUGAUGAAGGUCUUCGGAUCGUAAAACUCUGUUAUUAGGGAAGAACAAAUGUGUAAGUAACUGUGCACGUCUUGACGGUACCUAAUCAGAAAGCCACGGCUAACUACGUG